UUAAGUGAACAAGGGCAUACGGCGGAUGCCUUGGCGCCAAGAGCCGAUGAAGGACGCGGUAAGCUGCGAAAAGGCAUGGGUAGGAGCAAGCAUCCUGUGAUCCAUGCAUAUCCGAAUGGGGCAACCCACCAUCAGUCAUGUGAUGGUACGAAAGAGGCAGACCUGGGGAACUGAAACAUCUAAGUACCCAGAGGAAAAGUAAUCAAUUGAGAUUCCCUAAGUAGCGGCGAGCGAAAGGGGAAGAGCCCAAACCAGAUAACUUCGGUUGUCUGGGGUUGAGGACCGGCAAAAAGAGGAAACUUCUUAGUCGAAUGGUUUGGAAAGGCCAUGCACAGAAGGUAAAACACCUGUAGGCGAAAAGAAGUCAAUCGGGCUGGUAUCCAGAGUACUGCGAGACACGUGAAACCUUGCAGGAAGCAGGGGGGACCACCCUCCAAGGCAAAAUACUACUUGGCGACCGAUAGCGCAUAGUACCGUGAGGGAAAGGUGAAAAGAACCCCGGGAGGGGAGUGAAAUAGAACCUGAAACCGUAUGUCUACAAGCAGUCGAAGCACCUUAAGAGUGCGACGGCGUGCCUAUUGAAGAAUGAACCGGCGAGUUACAUUAUGUUGCGAGGUUAAGUGGGAGACACGGAGCCGAAGCGAAAGCGAGUCUUAAUAGGGCGACUAGUAACAUGGUGUAGACCCGAAACCGCAGUGAUCUAUCCAUGGUCAGGUUGAAGCGCAGGUAAAAAUGCGUGGAGGACCGAACCCGUGAGUGUUGAAAAACUUUGGGAUGAACCGUGGAUAGGGGUGAAAUGCCAAUCGAACGCGGAGAUAGCUGGUACUCCCCGAAAUAGCUUUAGGGCUAGCCUCAGGGAAGAUUAUAGACGGUAGAGCACUGAUCUGGCAAGGGGGCGUAAAGCCUACCGACCCUAGUCAAACUUCGAAUGGCUAUAAUUAAGACCCUGGGAGUCAGACUGCGAGUGAUAAGACCCGUAGUCAAGAGGGAAACAGCCCAGACCGCCGACUAAGGUCCCCAAUGCUGUACUAAGUGGAAAAGGAUGUAAGACUUCAUAAACAACCAGGAUGUUGGCUUAGAAGCAGCCACCAUUAAAAGAGUGCGUAAUAGCUCACUGGUCGAGAGGCCUUGCGCCGAAGAUGUCCGGGGCUCAAGUACAGAACCGAAGUCGCGGCAGGAUUAUAUAAUUCUGGGUAGGGGAGCGUUGUAUAUCCGACUGAAGGUGUACCGGAAGGAGCGCUGGAGGAUAUACAAGAGAGAAUGCCGGUAUGAGUAGCGAAAAGAACAGUGAGAAUCUGUUCCACCGAAAGCCUAAGGUUUCCUGAGCAACGCUCGUCGACUCAGGGUAAGUCGGGACCUAAGCCGAGGCAAAAAGCAUAGGCGAUGGACAACAGGUUAAUAUUCCUGUACCGCUUCAAAUCGUUUGAGCAAUGGAGUGACACAGAAGGUAGCUUGAGCACGCGAAUGGAUGUGCGUGUCGAAGGUGGUAGGUUGCAGUAUAGGCAAAUCCGUACUGUAUAAGACCGAGAACUGAUAGAUAGACGAUACUUCGGUAAAGUCAAAUUCAAGUGAGCCAUGCUGUCGAGAAAAGCUUCUAGUGAGAGAUGAGGCGCCCGUACCGAAACCGACACAGGUAGGCGGGGAGAGAAUCCUAAGGUGCGCGGGACAACCCUCGUUAAGGAACUCGGCAAAUUGUAUCCGUAACUUAGGGAUAAGGAUAGCCGGAGGAUGUGAAGGGAUUUACUUCUGGAGCGUCAGCCGGUGGCACAAGAGAGGCCCAAGCGACUGUUUAGCACAAACACAGGUGCCUGCAAAAGAGAAAUCUGACGUAUAGGUGCUGACACCUGCCCGGUGCUGGAAGGUUAAGAGGAGGGCUUAGAGGCAACUCGAAGGCUUGAAUUGAAGCCCCAGUAAACGGCGGCCGUAACUAUAACGGUCCUAAGGUAGCGAAAUUCCUUGUCGGGUAAGUUC
rnacentral:rRNA from 1 species